CCUACGGGAGGCAGCAGUGGGGAAUCUUGCGCAAUGCGCGAAAGCGUGACGCAGCAACGCCGCGUGAGGGAAGACGGCCUUCGGGUUGUAAACCUCUUUCAGUUGGGACGAAGCCACGGCGGUUAAUACCCGUCUGUGGUGACGGUACCUUCAGAAGAAGCCCCGGCUAACUACGUGCCAGCAGCCGCGGUAAUACGUAGGGGGCAAGCGUUGUCCGGAAUCAUUGGGCGUAAAGCGCGUGUAGGCGGCUUGGUAAGUCCGCUCUGAAAGCCCGGGGCUCAACCCCGGGAGGCGGGUGGAUACUGUCAAGCUCGAGUCCGGAAGAGGCGAGUGGAAUUCCUGGUGUAGCGGUGAAAUGCGCAGAUAUCAGGAGGAACACCAAUGGCGAAGGCAGCUCGCUGGGACGUGACUGACGCUGAGACGCGAAAGCGUGGGGAGCAAACAGGAUUAGAUACCCUGGUAGUCCACGCCGUAAACGAUGGGCACUAGGUGUGGGAGGUGUCGACUCUCCCGUGCCGAAGCUAACGCAUUAAGUGCCCCGCCUGGGGAGGACGCGCGAGACGAACACAANAGAGUAGACGCGUGAGACGUGCCGACGACGACGACGAGGGAGGAGG
rnacentral:rRNA from 1 species